CCUUGCCUAGCAGACGUUCCUUCCUUCUUUAUGGUUAUCGAAAGAGCCAUUUUUUUAUUUGCGCUACCGUCUGACCUACCCAUCUUUCGUUUCAUCAAUGCAAACAAUGAAACUAGUACACACUCAAAACGACCUAUCAAAUGGUUGGCUCAAUGCAUCAUGAAGCUGUCAUUUGUCCAUUCACACAUUUUACACUAUUUUUUGAACUAAAGUGCAUGUGAAAGUUUUUGUUAGGCUAUCAGGAUGAUUAGGUUUUAAAGUGAUUCAUUUUUACAACAGUUGCUAUUUAUUUAUAAAUGUUUUAGUUUACACUUCUAGAGCAUGGGUCAUAAGAAUUUGACCUCUAACCUAGAGUAAUUAAUCAAUCUAUCAAGUUAAAUGACGUCAAGUGAUAGGGAGCAAGUGUCUCUACAAGUUGAUGAUCAUGAAGCAGAAUUAUUUCAUUUCAAAAAAAAAAUAGGAUGAGUGUUCAAAUUGAAAAUUAGAAAGGGUAUUUUUUAUAGGCGAAGGCUUUCGAAAUCGUAGUAAACUCGUAGUAUAUAUUUUAGAAAACUACUUUCUAAUUCUUUCUUCAAAUUUUAAAGCUUCCAUUUAAAUUUUUAGAUUUUUCUCUUUUUAGUCCCUUUUAAAACACAUAUGUUUAAUCAAUCUCUUACCACAAUACGAAUAUGAAGUUCGCUCUUAUCCUUAUUGCCCUGUGACGUCAUCAUUUAUCAAGAAAUGAAUAGCAUUCUUUUGAGCACACACACACACGUGUGGUUGGUGACCCUGGCCAAC
ensembl:lincRNA K09A9.12 ncRNA